AUAACUAAGCGGAGGAACAGAAACCAACAGGGAUUCCCUCAGUAACGGCGAGUGAAGCGGGAUCAGCCCAGCGCCGAAUCCGCCGGGCCCUCGACGGCCGGCCGGAACUGUGGCGUACGGGACGACGGACGGUCGGCGGGGAGGAGCCUCAGUCCCUCCGAGCGGGGCCCUUCCCACAGCGGGUGCCAGGCCUCUGCCGGCUCCCUUCCCCGCCCGCCGCCGCCGUCCCAGGAGUCGGGUCGCUUGGGAGUGCAGCCCGAAGCGGGUGGUAAACUCCACCUAAGGCUAAAUACUGGCGCGAGGCCGAUAGCGGACAAGUACNGUGAGGGAACGUUGAAAAGAACUUU
rnacentral:rRNA from 2 species